CCUAGUUAAUGCUGCUAGUAGUCAUAUGCUUGUCUCAAAGAUUAAGCCAUGCAUGUGUAAGUAUAAACUAAUUCAGACUGUGAAAUUGCAAUUGGCUCAUUAAAUUAGCUAUAGUUUGGUUGAUGGUAUCUACUUUUCAGAUAGUAAUUCUAAAGCUAAUAUGUGUAAUAAACCUUGACUUCUAGAAGGGAUGCAUUUAUUAGAUAAAAGGUUGAUAAAGGCUUUGCCUGUUGCUUUAAUGAUUCAUGAUAGCUCGAAAUAUCUCACGACCUUUGUGCCAACAACGCAUCAUUCAAAAUUUUGCCCUAUCAACUUUCGAUGGUAGGAUUGUAGCCUACUAUGAUGGUGAUAGGUGACGGAGAAUUAAGGUUGGAUUCCAGAGAUAGAGCUCGAAAAAUGGCUACCACAUCCAAUGAAGGUAGCAGGUACGUAAAUUACCUAAUCCUAACACAAAAAGGUAGUGACAAUAAAUAAAAUAUACUAAGCUUUAUGAGUUUGGUAAUUAGAAUGAGUACAAUCUAAAUCUCUUAUCGAGGAUCCAUUGAAGGGCAAGUUUAGUGCUAGUAGCCACACUAAUUCCAACUCUAAUAGUGUAUAUUUAAUUAUUGUAGUUAAAAAGCUCGUAGUUGGAACUAGGGUUAGGUUAUCCAGUCUGCCUCACGAUGAGCACUGAUCUACUUGAUCCUACUCUAGUGAUGCACUCCUAGCCAUAAUUGGCUAGGUCAUUCCUUUGGCACGUUACUUUGAAGAAAUUAGAUUGCUCAAAGUAGGCUUGCGCUUGUAUACAUUAGCAUGGGAUAACAUCAUAGGAUUUUAGUCCUAUUGUGUUGGCCUUUGGAAUUAAAGUAAUGAUUAAUAGGGAUAGUCGGGGGCAUUCAUAUUUCAUAGUCAGAGGUGAAAUUCUUGGAUUUAUAAAAAAUGAACAACUACGAAAACAUUUGCUAAGGAUGUUUUCAUUAAUCAAGAAUGAAAGUUGGGAGCUUAAAAAUGAUUAGAUACCAUCCUAGUCUUAACCAUAAGCAAUGUUGACUAGGGAUCAGUGGAUGUUACUUUUAAGACUCUACUGGCACAUUAUGAGAAAUCAAAGUCUUUAGGUUUCAAAGGGAGUAUGGUCACUAGGCUAAAACUUAAAGGAAUUGAUUAAAAGGCACCACCAGGAGUGGAGUCUGUAGCUUAAUCUAACUCAACAGGGGAAAACUUACCAAGUUCAUACAUAGUAAGGAUUGACAGACUGAUAGCUCUUUCUUGAUUCUAUGGAUGGUGUUUUAUGGCUAUUCUUAGUUGGUGGAGCGAUUUGUCUAGUUAAUUAUGUUAACGAACAAGACCUUAACCUGCUAACUAGCUACAUGGAGGUGAUCUUUUAUGGCUAGCUUCUUAGAGGGACUAUGACCGUUUAGGCCAACGAAGUUUACGACAAUAAUUGGUCUAUGAUGCCUUAAGAUGUUCUAGGUCGUAUGCACUCUACAGUGAUGUAUUCAACGAUUCUAUAGCUUUAGCUAAUAAUCCUAGGUAAUCUUUGAAAUGUCAUUAUGAGACGGAUAGACCAUUGCAAUUGUUGGUCUUCAAUGAGAAAUUCCUAGUAAGCACGAGUCAUCAGCUUGCAUUGACUAUGUCCCUACCCUUUUUACACACCAUCCAUCACUCAUAUCGAUUGAAUAGUUCGGUGAAGUGUUCAGAUCAAGGUGACAUGGAUGGUUCACUGCUUGUGACAUCGUGAAAAGCCCAUUGAACAUUAUCAUUUAGAGGAAAGAAAAGUCGCAACAAGGUUUUCGUAAGUGAAUCUAUGAAAG
rnacentral:rRNA from 1 species